GGAGAGAUGGCUCAGUGGUUAAGAGCAUUUGACUGCUCUUCCAAAGGUCCUGAGUUCAAUUCCCAGCAACCCCA
rfam:Neotoma lepida isolate 417 scaffold_73, whole genome shotgun sequence.